UACGGAGGGUGCGAGCGUUAUCCGGAAUCACUGGGCGUAAAGGGCACGUAGGCGGUCUACUAAGUCCGAUGUUAAAGAGUGGGGCUCAACCCCAUCACGGCGUUGGAUACUGGCAGGCUUGACGACUGGAGAGGAAAGUAGAAUUACCAGUGUAGCGGUGAAAUGCGUAGAUACUGGUAGGAAUACCCAUUGCGAAGGCAGCUUUCUGGACAGUUUGUGACGCUGAGGUGCGAAAGUGUGGGGAGCAAACCGG
rnacentral:rRNA from 1 species